rnacentral:rRNA from 1 species
AACAGCCGCGGUAAUUCCAGCUCCAAUAGCGUAUAUUAAAGUUGUUGCAGUUAAAAAGCUCGUAGUUGAAUUUCGGGGUUCUACCGUUGGUCAGACUAUUGUCUGUACUGGCGUGUAGAAUUUCUACCUUCUGGGGAACUAUCAUGUUAUUAAUUUAGCGUGGUAGGAAACCAGGACCUUUACCUUGAAAAAAUUAGAGUGUUCAAAGCAGGCUUAUGUCUGAAUACAUUAGCAUGGAAUAAUAAAAUAGGACGGUGGUCCUGUUUUGUUGGUUUCUGAAUCACCGUAAUGAUUAAUAGGGAUAGUUGGGGGCAUUAGUAUUCAAUUGUCGGAGGUGAAAUUCUUGGAUUUAUUGAAGACUAACUACUGCGAAAGCAUUUGCCAAGGAUGUUUUCAUUAAUCAAGAACGAAAGUUAGGGGAUCGAAGACGAUCAGAUACCGUCGUAGUCUUAACCAUAAACUAUGCCGACUAGGGAUCGGACGAUGUUAACUUUCUUGACUCGUUCGGCGCCUUACGGGA